rnacentral:rRNA from 1 species
UUGUGUGUCAGUGGAACGGUCUGGAAAGGCCGGCGAUACAGGGUGACAGCCCCGUACACGAAGGCACACAGGCUGUGAGCUCGAUGAGUAGGGCGGGACACGUGAUAUCCUGUCUGAAGAUGGGGGGACCAUCCUCCAAGGCUAAAUACUCCUGACUGACCGAUAGUGAACCAGUACCGUGAGGGAAAGGCGAAAAGAACCCCGGCGAGGGGAGUGAAACAGAACCUGAAACCGUGUACGUACAAGCAGUGGGAGCCUUCGUAAGAGGGUGACUGCGUACCUUUUGUAUAAUGGGUCAGCGACUUAUAUUCUGUAGCAAGGUUAACCGUAUAGGGGAGCCGAAGGGAAACCGAGUCUUAACCGGGCGUUAAGUUGCAGGGUAUAGACCCGAAACCCGGUGAUCUAGCCAUGGGCAGGUUGAAGGUUGGGUAACACUAACUGGAGGACCGAACCGACUAAUGUUGAAAAAUUAGCGGAUGACCUGUGGCUGGGGG